GUGGGCGUCACUCCUCAACACCACCUCAUCCUGUGAGAGUCUACGGUGCUCCUCCAAGAAGUCAAGCAGAUCAAUAAUAAACUUGUAGUCAUUAUCGAAAGCGGGAAUGAAUUUGUGUUAUCGCUUCCAAACCUUGGCAGGAAACCUAAGAGCUUUCUUUUGGUGGGCAAGGCGGUACACGACACAGGAGGAGGGGAACACUGGCCCAGGCUGACAAAAC
rnacentral:lncRNA from 1 species